rnacentral:rRNA from 1 species
GAGUUUGAUCAUGGCUCAGAUUGAACGCUGGCGGCAUGCUUUACACAUGCAAGUCGAACGGCAGCGCGGGGCAACCUGGCGGCGAGUGGCGAACGGGUGAGUAAUAUAUCGGAACGUACCCAAGAGUGGGGGGAUAACGUAGCGAAAGUUACGCUAAUACCGCAUACGAUCUAAGGAUGAAAGUGGGGGAUCGCAAGACCUCAUGCUCCUGGAGCGGCCGAUAUCUGAUUAGCUAGUUGGUGAGGUAAAGGCUCACCAAGGCGACGAUCAGUAGCUGGUCUGAGAGGACGACCAGCCACACUGGAACUGAGACACGGUCCAGACUCCUACGGGAGGCAGCAGUGGGGAAUUUUGGACAAUGGGCGCAAGCCUGAUCCAGCAAUGCCGCGUGAGUGAAGAAGGCCUU